UAUAAUGUUUAAAGUCAUAACUUUAACGAAGAAAUAUUCUUUUCAUUUCCAAAAUUAAUAUAUCAUACAUAUUUCAUAUAUAUCACAUAUAUAUUUUAUAUAUAUAUAUAUAUAUACAAAUUUAGGAAUAUGAAUAACUCCCACUAAUCUUUUGUAAAACUAGUAAACAAAAGAUUCAUUUACAUCUUUAUGAGAAAUCAAACAAUUUGACCUUUCUCUUAUAAGACGCUUACAGCUCCCACUAGCUUGCUAAGAUCCAUGAUGGAUGGAUCUCUACAACUUAUAUGUCUUGUGAUUCAUAGUUUUAGACAUAUAUUAUCAAGACUAUCUUAAUAAUGGUUUCAGAAACCCAUAUUAUGUCCAAACAUUGAAUCACCAUUUAGUUGUAGCUAGCAAUCUUCGAAUUAAUUGAAACUAAGACUACGUCAAAAAUGGUUCCUUCAAAGUCAACCAUUUUAUUUGAUUGUAGUCACCUUAAGCUACCAAUUAGCUUAUGAAGGUUUCAUUAUUUCGGGUCAAGUGGUACUUUACCAUUCCCAUGAGUAUAUAUCGUAUAUGCACUCAAUGUAGUCAUAAGGAUUUACAUUCUUAUUUCUUUCGAAUUAAGAGGUGCAACUCUAUGACAUAGUCAUAAAGUUCAAACCAUUCAAC
rnacentral:lncRNA from 1 species